UACGUAGGGUGCAAGCGUUGUCCGGAAUUAUUGGGCGUAAAGAGCUCGUAGGCGGUUUGUCGCGUCUGCUGUGAAAACUCGGGGCUUAACCCCGGGCCUGCAGUGGGUACGGGCAGACUAGAGUGCGGUAGGGGAGACUGGAAUUCCUGGUGUAGCGGUGAAAUGCGCAGAUAUCAGGAGGAACACCGGUGGCGAAGGCGGGUUGCUGGGCCGACACUGACGCUGAUGCGCGAAAGCCAGGGGAGCGAACGGG
rnacentral:rRNA from 1 species